UUCAGUCAGGUCCUUAAGAGAGCACAAACAACCAGUCAAUUGGCCUCCGGUGAGCUCAUCAGUAGUGGCUGUACUGUGGCCCACCUCCAGGAGAGAGCGCAGUCGGACCACUUGAUCCGGCUGUUCCCUCACACAUCAUUUGUCAUAUUUUCUUGCUGUGUUUCUCAACGGCAACAGAAACUAAACAGAAAAAGUGAGCUUUGUCAGCCAACAGAGGUGAAGUGCUAUUGGAGUGCUCCAAGACUCCCACUGAUAAUGCGACAGUCAUGGGAUGACAUAAGACACCAUUUCCUUAUAUGGAAGACAUUUUAGACACCAUUCUUUAACCCUGAAAUCCACCCUUGUCAACACAGAGUGUAUGCCGUGCCUGUCAUUGUGUGGGUGUGUGUGUUCCUGUCUGAGCACACGACACAGUAUAAAAGCAGAGGGGCUCUCUGCCCCUCCAACACUUUGAACCUCAGACUUAUCCGCUGCUAAGAGAAGUCUUCGACUGAGACCAACAAUGAGAGCCUACCUGGUCCUGCUUCUGCUGCUCCCUCUGUGCACAGCCGACUACAAAAUUGAAUGUUACGGCGAGGACUUCCUGAUGCUGAGGAACCAGCUCCUACAGUGCUCAAGCAAAACACAGCAGGCCUGCUACACCAGGAAGACAGGGGAGAAGGGCUGUGCUCGGCUGGAGUUCUGCUCUCGACCAGGCUGGAAGUGCUGCUAUAAGGACCGCUGCAAUGCCUUGAGCUGAUUCCAGGGGACACUAACUCCACGGCCCAGGACAGGCAGAGGACGAAGAGCUGUGAUAUCAGCUGACAGCGACUUGCUGUUUAGCACUUGGUGAUUGAAUGCGUUUGUAUAAAUAACGUGACAAAAAUAACUUUAAUUGGAUGUAAAGUCACAUGAAAUAAAGUCCUACGCAAUUGUAA